GACGAACGCUGGCGGCGUGCUUAACACAUGCAAGUCGAGCGGUAAGGCUCCUUCGGGAGUACACGAGUGGCGAACGGGUGAGUAACACGUGAGCAACCUGCCCUUGACUUUGGGAUACCAGCUGGAAACAGCUGCUAAUACCGGAUACGACCCCUUGACGCAUGUUUUGGGGUGGAAAGCUCCGGCGGUCAGGGAUGGGCUCGCGGCCUAUCAGCUUGUUGGUGAGGUAAUGGCUCACCAAGGCUUCGACGGGUAGCCGGCCUGAGAGGGUGACCGGCCACACUGGGACUGAGACACGGCCCAGACUCCUACGGGAGGCAGCAGUGGGGAAUAUUGGACAAUGGGCGAAAGCCUGAUCCAGCAACGCCGCGUGAGGGAUGACGGCCUUCGGGUUGUAAACCUCUUUCAGCGCAGACGAAGCGAAAGUGACGGUAUGCGCAGAAGAAGGACCGGCCAACUACGUGCCAGCAGCCGCAGUAAUAC
rnacentral:rRNA from 1 species